rnacentral:misc_RNA from 1 species
GGGAGAGGAUGGGCAAGUAUGAGAGGAAUAAAGUAAAUGAAGAGGAUGCCCAUCUUUGGUCUCAAUCAGGUGGAUGCGGUGGCUUUGACGUUGCAAUGGCUCAAGAUCCUACGGUGUCAUUAUGGGAGAAAAAGGAGUCGGUUAAGAAACAGAAGUUGCAACUUCUGGAGCAGAGAGUCAGCAUCCAGGCUCAAGCGUUUGAGCUUGAGAAGCAACGCUUCAAGUGGUUGAGAUACUGCAGCAAGAAAGAUAGGGAGUUU